rnacentral:lncRNA from 1 species
UCCGCUUCCUCCUCUCCGGCGUCGGCCCCGAGCGCCCGAGACACCUUUCCGGUCCCGCCGCUCGGCCGGUCGGCCUCUCGCCCGCAUGACAGCGGGCGUCCUGAAGAGCGGCGCAUCUGGAACUAGUGGGGCACACGGUCAAUCUGGCACCCGGCCCUCUCCUUCCGGUCCCGCGGAGAGCCGGCGCAGAGGAAGGCUAUGGUGGCAGCCCCGCCGCAGCCCGCGAAGAGGCGCUCUCUGGCCACUUGGUACUGAAGUGCCCUAGACUUUGGCUCGACAUCAGACCGCGGUUGCGCUCCGGGUUCAGUUACCCCAAACCCCCUCUGUUUUAGAGGGGAAACAGGCCACAGGAAAAAAGUGUUCGCUGAUGGAUCUUGGAUAAGCAGUGCAUGAGUGUCAGAAUCCGGCCUGGACCCUGAGCCCCGUUUGUAAGAGAAAAAAAAUUCCAAACUGUAAGGCGUGGGACCCAAAAGAUACUUUAAAGAUUAAACCAUCUCACUCUGGCGCUCUUUAUUCCUUUCUCCGUUACUGUUUCGUCCUUGGAGAGCGAACUUCUCUUAAGAGUGGAUGAAAAUGAGCUGCGAGUUUCCCUUUAAAUUGAUGAGCAGCUUCCUCAGAAGUCAGUACCCGCGCUUUGUCAAGCCUGAGCUUGUCAAACUCUUCAUUCGUUCCUUUCUGUACAUUUUUCAUGUUCCUUACGUGGAGAGAGUAGUUGGAUGUCUAAACUUAGGGAAACCUGUCCUAUUGUGUUUCCUUUUAAGACUAGUUCAAGGCUGGGAGUGUAGCUGUGCUAGAGUGCUUUCUAGCAUGAAGCUUUGGGUUCAAUCCCCAGCAAUGCCAAAAGUAAAAUAAUAGUUGUGUUCGGGUAAUAGGGAAAUUGAUAGAAAUAAAGAGAAAUUCACUUAAAAUGUUAACACAGCUGGGCGUAGUGGCACACACCUGUAACCCCAGCACUCAGGAGGCUGAGGCAGGAUUGUUGCAAGUUCAAGGCCAACCUGAACUACGUAAGGAGACCCAGUCUCAAACAAACAAAAAGUUAACACGAUUUAAUUCCACAAACAGUACACAAAAAUAAUCUUAGGAGAAAAAAAUCAUCCUAGAUUGACCUAAAUUCCUUUAACACCAGCCACAACCUCCCACUCCUCUGGAGAUAACCUCUGUUUAAGUGUCAUAUGGAACCUUCCAGACGUUUUCAUCUGAGUGUACAUACUUUGCUUUUCUAGAAAUGUAGCUUUUUAAAAAACAAUAAAAUGUUAUAAAAUUA